rnacentral:rRNA from 1 species
UACGAAGGGGGCUAGCGUUGCUCGGAAUUACUGGGCGUAAAGCGCACGUAGGCGGCUUUCUAAGUCGGGGGUGAAAUCCUGGAGCUCAACUCCAGAACUGCCUUCGAUACUGGAGAGCUUGAGUCCGGGAGAGGUGAGUGGAACUGCGAGUGUAGAGGUGAAAUUCGUAGAUAUUCGCAAGAACACCAGUGGCGAAGGCGGCUCACUGGCCCGGUACUGACGCCGAGGUGCGAAAGCGUGGGGAGCAAACAGG